CCCUNAUUAUUCNAUANAUUCANUCNUGUUUNNAGAAGAUNUAUUUUCUUUAAUAUAAAGCCAGGUGGCUGUUAAAGUUUUUUAGAGAAGCAUGUAGUUAGACCAAAUUGCACGAAAAUCUUAUCUUUUUUAAAUCAUGUCGUCCACCGCCGUCUGAAGAUAGAAUUAAACGGUUCAACUUUUUCUAUUUGGAUAUAAGUCAGGUAAAGGCGCGCAUUAUAAAAAGGUUUAUAUGUGCCUCUUUUUUGUUUUUAAUGGAUAUUUUUUUAUAAAUUUAUUGAAAUUGAAUCUAACAGUAAAGAUAAACACAAAAUUGUCUUGAAUUAUAAACUUUAAGGUACACAUCGCCC
rnacentral:rRNA from 1 species